AGUGUCAUGUAAUGUAAGCAUGUUUACCUAUAUCGGCUGUGGAUGUUUUGGUGGAAUUUGACAAAAACAAAUGUAAGCCUUGCAGUUACUUAGAUGAAUACUAAGUUACAUAUGAAUUGUACCUGAGAGAGAUGCUACUGAAAUCAGUGGAACUAAUUAUGAUACAUGAAGUUAAGUACAUCUGCAAAGUUAUUUAAGAAGAGGAUGGUCAAAUUAGAAAAAAAAGCUCAAAAAAUUUUUGCACUGAUUUUAGUAGAUUUAGGUAUUUAUUGAACUACAGUUUGUGCUGACUGUAGGCUUAGUGUCAGUCAUAAGUUUAUUUACACUAGAGCAGUUUUCUAUUUCCCACCAUGAACCCUUAGAAUGUUUACAAAUUUUGAAUUACCAGGCCCCAGAUACCAAGAGUAGUGUGACCAGUAGGACCAGGAAAGUGAUUGUCCCCCUGUACUCAGAACUGGUAAGGCCACACCUCACAUACUGUUCCGUUUUGGGCCACUCACUUAAAAAAUGGCAUUUUAGUGCUGGAGUGAGUUCAGAGAAGGGCAGUGACGCUGGUGAAGGUCUUCUGGGGGCAUCUGGGGGAAUUGGCCUUGUUUGGUCUGAAGAAGAGGAGGCUCACGCUCAUUGUUCUCUUCAGCUGUCUAAAAGGAAACCAUCAUGAGGCAGGGGUUGGUUUUUAUUGCCAUGUCUCAAGUGGAAGGAUGAGAGGAAAUUACUUUAAGUUGUACCAGGGGAGAUACAGAUUAGACAUCAGAAAUUUUAUUUUCACUGCAGAAGUGGUUAGGCAUUGGAAUAAGCUGCCAAGGGAGGUUGUGGAGGUACCACCUGUAGAAGUGUUGAAGAGGCAUCUGGAUGUGGCACUUGGGUUUAGGGGUGAUUAAAAUGGUGCUGUGUUGCCAGAUGGUCUUAAAGGUCUCUUCCAGUCUUGAUGAUUCUGUGGAUCUAGCCAUGUGAUAGGACUGAAAUAGAUCAGGGACAUAGGAAGAAUGCAUCACAUGUGGGCAGCAUUUUGGCCGAUCUCCUAUCAGCAAAGUCAAUACUGAAUUAUGCUAUUCACAGGAUGGAAACAAAUUUACUUGUUCUUCUUUUACCUUUGAAAUGGCAAAAUUGGAAUGGCUGCUGUCAAGAAAGAAUAAGCACUGGAUAGCAGGAUUAAGAGAUGAGAAAUUAUCCAGAGAAAUUUCUGGAUGAGAGGAGAGUAAUUUCAGAUUGGUGCCAUCUGCAGGAAGCACUAGGGUUAUAUCAGACUAGAUUGACUGAGUCCAUAUCAUCAUGCAAAAUUAGCCAGUCUGCUACCUCUGCCCAUUUAACCAUAACAAAUGGUGAUUUAUGCUGUCUGUGCAGUCACUAACUUGAAAAGGUAGAAUUCAAGAGAUGUUACAUUGAAAA